rnacentral:rRNA from 1 species
UAACGCCUGGAAACGGGUGCUAAUGCCGGAUAGGCAACUGGUAGGCAUCUACCGGUUGGGAAAGGUGCAACUGCACCGCAGAUGGAGGAGCCCGCGGCGCAUUAGCUAGUUGGUGGGGUAACGGCCCACCAAGGCGACGAUGCGUAGCCGACCUGAGAGGGUGACCGGCCACACUGGGACUGAGACACGGCCCAGACUCCUACGGGAGGCAGCAGUAGGGAAUCUUCGGCAAUGGGCGAAAGCCUGACCGAGCAACGCCGCGUGAGCGAAGAAGGCCUUCGGGUUGUAAAGCUCAGUCACCCGGGAAGAGCGGGCAGGAGAGGGAAUGCUCCUGUCGAGACGGUACCGGGAGAGGAAGCCCCGGCUAACUACGUG